rnacentral:rRNA from 1 species
CCUUGCCAGCCCGCUCAGAAACUCACAUGAAUUGACGGGGGCCCGCACAAGCGGAGGAACAUGUGGUUUAAUUCGAUGAUACGCGAGGAACCUUACCUGGGCUAGAACGCAAUCGGAAUCAGGCCGAAAGGUCUGCGCCAGCGAUGGCCGGUUGCGAGGUGCUGCAUGGUUGUCGUCAGCUCGUGCCGUGAGGUGUCGGGUUAAGUCCCAUAACGAGCGCAACCCCUACUGCUAGUUGCCAGCGGGUCAUGCCGGGGACUCUAGCGGAACUGCCAGCGUAAGCUGCGAGGAAGGUGGGGAUGACGUCAAAUCAGCACGGCCCUUACGUCCAGGGCUACACACGUGUUACAAUGGCCAGUACAGAGGGCAGCCACCCCGCGAGGGGGCGCUAAUCCUAAAAGCUGGUCCCAGUUCGGAUCGGAGUCUGCAACCCGACUCCGUGAAGUUGGAAUCGCUAGUAAUCGUGGAUCAGCAUGCCACGGUGAAUACGUUCCCGGGCCUU